rnacentral:rRNA from 1 species
CCCUUAGAUGUUCUGGGCUGCACGCGCGCUACACUGAUGCGCUCAACGAGUUUAUAACCUUGUCCGGCAGGAUUGGGUAAUCUUUUUAAAACGCAUCGUGAUGGGGAUAGAUUAUUGCAAUUAUUAAUCUUCAACGAGGAAUUCCUAGUAGGCGCAAGUCAUCAGCUUGCGUCGAUUACGUCCCUGCCCUUUGUACACACCGCCCGUCGCUCCUACCGAUUGGGUGUGCUGGUGAAAUGUUCGGAUCGGCCGUUUGUCGCGGUUUCCGCGGCUCGUGGCUGAGAAGUUCAUUAAACCCUCCCACCUAGAGGAAGGAGAAGUCGUAACA